UCAAACUUGGUCAUUUAGAGGAAGUAAAAGUCGUAACAAGGUCUCCGUUGGUGAACCAGCGGAGGGAUCAUUACUGAGUGUUACAACUCCCAAACCCUUUGUGAACGCUACCAUUUGUUGCUUCGGCGGGACCGCCCCGGCGCCUCUGCGCGCCGGAACCAGGCGCCCGCCGGGGGCCCGAAACUCUUGUCUUUCCGGUGGAUUUUUCUGAGUGGCACAAGCAAAAUGAAUCAAAACUUUCAACAACGGAUCUCUUGGUUCUGGCAUCGAUGAAGAACGCAGC
rnacentral:misc_RNA from 1 species